rnacentral:rRNA from 1 species
CCUACGGGAGGCAGCAGUGGGGAAUAUUGGACAAUGGGCGAAAGCCUGAUCCAGCCAUGCCGCGUGUGUGAAGAAGGCCUUCGGGUUGUAAAGCACUUUCAGUGGGGAAGAAAGCCUUGGGGCUAAUACCCUCGAGGAAGGACAUCACCCACAGAAGAAGCACCGGCUAACUCCGUGCCAGCAGCCGCGGUAAUACGGAGGGUGCGAGCGUUAAUCGGAAUUACUGGGCGUAAAGCGCGCGUAGGCGGUCUGAUAAGCCGGUUGUGAAAGCCCCGGGCUCAACCUGGGAACGGCACCCGGAACUGUCAGGCUAGAGUGCAGGAGAGGAAGGUAGAAUUCCCGGUGUAGCGGUGAAAUGCGUAGAGAUCGGGAGGAAUACCAGUGGCGAAGGCGGCCUUCUGGACUGACACUGACGCUGAGGUGCGAAAGCGUGGGUAGCAAACAGGAUUAGAUACCCCUGUAGUC